UACGUAGGCAGCGAGCGUUGUUCGGAAUUACUGGGCGUAAAGAGUGUGUAGGCGGUGUUCCCAGUCUGUUGUGAAAUCUCCCGGCUUAACUGGGAGGGUGCAGCGGAAACUAGAAUGCUAGAGGGUGGGAGAGGUAAGCGGAAUUCCUGGUGUAGCGGUGAAAUGCGUAGAUAUCAGGAGGAACACCAGUGGCGAAGGCGACUUUCUGGCCUGUUCUUGACGCUGAGGCGCGAAAGCUAGGGGAGCAAACGGG
rnacentral:rRNA from 1 species